GUGCACAUUUCAUUGUCUUUUUUCUUUCCAUCAAGAGAAAAGAUUCCUGAUGUGCUAAACAAACCUGUGGAGGUAAAUUAGCAGCAUGACUUAACUUAGCCAUCCAUCACUGCCAAUCACCUUCAGACAACA